UGGGGAAUAUUGCACAAUGGGCGCAAGCCUGAUGCAGCCAUGCCGCGUGUAUGAAGAAGGCCUUCGGGUUGUAAAGUACUUUCAGCGGGGAGGAAGGGAGUAAAGUUAAUACCUUUGCUCAUUGACGUUACCCGCAGAAGAAGCACCGGCUAACUCCGUGCCAGCAGCCGCGGUAAUACGGAGGGUGCAAGCGUUAAUAGGAAUUACUGGGCGUAAAGCGCACGCAGGCGGUUUGUUAAGUCAGAUGUGAAAUCCCCGGGCUCAACCUGGGAACUGCAUCUGAUACUGGCAAGCUUGAGUCUCGUAGAGGGGGGUAGAAUUCCAGGUGUAGCGGUGAAAUGCGUAGAGAUCUGGAGGAAUACCGGUGGCGAAGGCGGCCCCCUGGACGAAGACUGACGCUCAGGUGCGAAAGCGUGGGGAGCAAACAGG
rnacentral:rRNA from 1 species